UACGUAGGUGGCGAGCGUUGUCCGGAUUUAUUGGGCGUAAAGAGCUCGUAGGCGGUUCGGCAAGUCGGGUGUGAAACCCCCAGGCUCAACCUGGGGACGCCACCCGAUACUGCUGUGACUUGAGUCCGGUAGGGGAGCGUGGAAUUCCUGGUGUAGCGGUGAAAUGCGCAGAUAUCAGGAGGAACACCAGCGGCGAAGGCGGCGCUCUGGGCCGGAACUGACGCUGAGGAGCGAAAGCGUGGGUAGCAAACAGG
rnacentral:rRNA from 1 species